UACGGUGAUGGUGUAAUUUGCGUCUUACUUUGUGAAUGGCGACAGUUGCCUGCUGUCUUGAUGCCAUCACAAGAGGUUGACGAAAAUAUGAUUCUGAGUA
ensembl:snoRNA SNORD16 Small nucleolar RNA SNORD16